rnacentral:rRNA from 1 species
AGAACGAACGCUGGCGGCAGGCCUCAAACAUGCAAGUCUAGGGGGUGUAGCAAUACAUCACCGGCGGACGGGUGCGUAACGCGUGGGAAUGUACCUAUUGGUUCGGAACAACUGAGGGAAACUUCAGCUAAUACCGAAUGUGCCCGAAAGGGGAAAGAUUUAUCGCCAAUGGAUCAGCCCGCGUAGGAUUAGCUAGUUGGUGAGGUAAUGGCUCACCAAGGCUCCGAUCCUUAGCUGUUCUGAGAGGAAGAUCAGCCACACUGGGACUGAGACACGGCCCAGACUCCUACGGGAGGCAGCAGUUGGGAAUC